rnacentral:rRNA from 1 species
AUGUCUUCCUCCACCUCCUCCCCCUUCCAGCCAAACCUCAGCGGCGGAGUCACGGAGAAACUCUCCCGCACCAACUACAUCAUGUGGCGGACCCAGAUCACGCCACAGCUACGGGGCGCCGGCGUCUAUCACUACGUCGACGGCACGUCGACCGAGCCGGCCAAAACCCACGUCACCAAAGAUGCCGCUGGGAAAGAAACCGAGGGGCCGAAUCCUCUCCAUCCGCUCUGGGUGAAGGAGGAUCAGCAGGUCCUUGGAUAUCUACUCCAACACCUAUCCAAGGAGGUGCUCGUCACGGUGACUGCGAUC